rnacentral:misc_RNA from 1 species
CUGAAAAUAAGUAAAUAAAUUUAUAAAUAGAACAUAAACGUUAAACUGCUGACAUCUGUCUCACAAACGCAACUCAACCAAAUUAAGCAAACAAUAUUCAUCUUGUUGCUCAUGGCACAGAUGGCCCCAGUAUUAUGCAGAUAAAAAUGCAAGGUAGCAAAACUCAAGAAAGUAAAGGAUAUUCAAGAUCUCAAAAACAUUUGUGUCUAGAUAACAUUGUGAAAAGUAAACAUUGAAAUUGUCUCCACAACUUAGGCUGCGAAUGAAGCCAUGGACCUGUCUCUCAAAUACACUGCAAAAUCUCAUUUUUUUGCUGCUCCUAUUGAUGACCUUGUCAACGAAAGAAAUCACAGUGCACACCUUCAGACUCGUGAAACUACAAGA